UUGUCACUAUCAAUCUAAAUUAUGCAAUUUAUUUACUUAGUAUCUUGAUCUGUAGAAAUCCCUAAAUUAUGCUAAUAUCUCUUUCAAGAGCAAGAGCAACUAAAUUUAGGUUGAGUUGUAGUGGGCCAAAUUUGCCCGGCCCAUUAACCUCAAACCAAAUAGUAAAAACCCAAUAAUUAAAUAAAUGUCCAUUUACAAAUCUGUCCUAAAUACAAUAAGCCCAAUGCCCAAAUACCAUAUACACCCAAAAAUAGGCCCAAUAAGCCCAAUGCCUACUAGAAACCCAAAAAAAUAAAUACAAAAUAAAGAAAAAAAACCAACAAUUAAUUAAAAUGUCCAGUGUUAUAAACAGUCCGGGGCCCAAAAACAUGCAAUGGUUCACAGCCCAUUAGUCAAUUAAAACCCAACACUAAUACCCUAGCCCAUUUAUCCAAAGUUACGAGGCCCAAAUGGCCUAAAAGACCUCAGCAACCCUAGGUCACCCCUCCCUCAUUUGCGUUGCAACCCCUGUAGCCUCCAGACGCCGUACAAUGCUUCCAGCAACCACGUCAAGCCUCCGUACGCUAGCUCGGCCCUCGUACACACACCACGCACCUGUACCUGCGAAAGGAAACAAAAAAAAACAGCAGCGAGAAUGGCAGCCAAUAGGAAAUUGAUUGAUUUUUUUUCUUUUGAUUACUUUUCGGCUAUAAAAGCCAAGCUUUUAAUCUUUGUAAAGGUUAUGAACGCAUAUUUCACGAAUACACAAUAGGCAAUACAAAAAAAGCAACCAAUAUCGGAAGGUGAUAUUUUUUAUCUAAAUCUCCGGGCUUUCUUUUUGUGGUUAUUCUCUUGCUUUGUAUUUUUUUAUUUUUUUUAUUUUAUUUCGAAAGCAAUAAAAGAAAAAGGGAAGACGAAGCCUUACCUUGCGAAAGUACCAGGGGUUCUAUCGACUUUGUUGAAAUCUGAGUUUAGAAAGGAUCCCACGGUCGAAAUAGUCGUCCGUUGAAGCCCGAGGCUGUUCGUCUCUGCUGAUAGACACUAAUCUUUGCUUAAGGGGGAGUGCUAGGGUCAAGAGAAAGGGAAGUAAAAUGGGGGCUAGGGUUCGACUAACUGAUUCAGCUUCAGCCCUUUUAAAGGACCAAAUACGACGCCAUUUCGAGCCUGUUCCAGUGGCUCAAAAACGACGUCGUUUGGUAAGAGACCCGACCCAAUCCGGUUUGCU
rnacentral:lncRNA from 1 species